GAUAGAAGGAAGGAAUCGUGGGUUAAAUAGUAAAGAAAUCAAGACUAAAUUAGAGGAGUCUUAGAGGGACUAAAAUGAAAAAAUGAGAUUGGGGCUAAAUCGAGACUAUCAAAAGAUGGUGUAUUGAGGUUUGGGAACAAAGCAUGUGUGCUGAAUAAUAACAGUCUGAAAAAUGAGAUACUAAAAGAAAGAAAAAUUCUUAGUCGAUA
rnacentral:lncRNA from 1 species